rnacentral:lncRNA from 1 species
AUGACUCAAAAUAAUGAAAACAAUCAAAUUAGACACUAGGAACUGCAAUGGACGGAAAUUGAAUUAAAAGACUAACAACAAUGAAAACUAACUAGAUAAUAUAAUUUAAUAAUGGGGGGUUUGGUUUUGACGAGAAGUAAAUUAAACUUAAAUAAAUUACAGAAUUGACAAAAACAUGAAAUUAAGGUGAAAUGAUAGGUGACGGACUAGCUAGAGGGUUCUUCUCCACACAUGACACAUAUGCAACCUAAAUUGAUUUUCAGUUGUUCUUUCAAUAAAUUGUAAAUCUCAAUACUUCAGAUUAACCGUGAACAACACUUUUUUAAUCUUCAAGUUUUCCUUAAGUUAUUGAAUUGGACGGAAAAACGCAUACAACAAUUCAAAACAUUCUUCAAAAGUCCCCUACGUGAAAAGCACAAUAGAGAUACAAUCAAAGAUCAUUAAACUUUGUGAAAACUAUAAGCAUUGACGAGGCAUUCGUAACUAUGAAAAGCAUGAUACUCUCUUGCCAAGAAUUCACUUAACACGAUUGUGACUAGCAACCUUCACUACUUGUGAAUAUAAGUUCAUAACGAUUAGGUGAAAUUCACUUAUAUUCUAGCAUCAAAUUCAUGCAUGUAAAUUAAGUAUGCAUUCUUAAUCGACAUACAAAAAUAAGUUAUCAAUCAAGCAGUUAAGCAAAUUAAAUCACAACUCAGAAAUCACAACUGAAGGUAAUCAAUUCAUAUUACAAAUAUAUACAUGGCUUUGAAUUAACCUCUAGCCAAAAUAAAAUUAGUUACACAUUAUUAUCAAAUUAAACCAAAAGUUAAACAUGAAGUUGAGAAGAUAAAACCAAGAAAAUAGAGUGAAGCUUUGCUCUCUAUGCCCUGCUUGUUUCUGCUUCUGUGCCGUGGCCUGUUGACCUGCGCCUCUCCUCCCCUGCUGCUCUGUCCGCACAGUUUUCUGUGUGCUGCCCGUGCCUUCUCGGUUUUCUGCUGCCGCAAGGCAGCUGUCUCUUCGUCCAGCCCUCUCUCCCCCGCGUCAAUCUCUCCCCCCUAUUUUUUCUCUGCGCCUGCCUUCUUAUUUCCUUCGUUUCUGCUUUUUUUCUUUUUUUUUUUAUUAAAGCUGCAAGGGCAGCUAAGCUGCCUCCUGAUCCUCUCUGCGCCUUGCGUCCCUGCUCAUUCCCCACGUCUAUUCCUUUUCUGCUGUCUGUCAGUCCCCCUGCUCUCCCUCCUUCCGCUUUUUCUCUCUGGCAGCCUUGCUGCCUUCCUGCCCGUUUCUGUCUCCUUUUUCCUGCUUUUCCUUUGCCGUGACUUUUAUAUCUCCCACAUGCCUUUAGCUUUUCUUUCCCUUAAGUCUUCCUUUCUUCUUCUUUUAUUCAAUUUCUUGAUAGUGUGCACUCCACUUCUCUCUUUCUCCUCACUGAUAUCCUCUCUUUUUGCCUAUUUUAUUCCUUCUUUUCCCCCCAAGGCACGCUGCAAAGCAGCUUGCUGCUUAUUAUUUUUCUUUCUAGUGGAAGAUGCUGAGCUGCCAAUUCCUCUAUCAUUUUGCUCCUAGAAACACAAUAUAGCAAAAGUAUCACAAAUCCUAUAAUACGUAAAAACAAGGUAAAUAGCUCAAAAAUAUAAGGAACUAACUAAGAAAAGACGAGUGAAUUUGAAGUAAAAAUAUAUAUAAAUAUGAUCCGAUCAAAUACCCCCACACUUAGCUUUUGCUAGUCCUCGAGCAAAACAAAGAGAACAUGAAAAGUAAUAACAUGAAAAACAUUAGUUUCCCCCUAUGUGACUCUCAUAGAAUUUCAUUCGAGAAAACAAAUCAUCAAGAACCAUAGCUAGCACCAAACAAACUAAUCCAAGUUCAUCUUCCUUAUUCAAAUAUUAGCAGUAAUCUUUGAAUCAUCCUUGAAGUGUAGUGUGUGAGAUAGCCAUGCUAAUACAAUUUCAAAUUUUUAUUUUUAAAAUCAUCAUAUGCAAACUAGCAACCUUCUCACAGGAUAUGCCCUCAAUCACACAUGUGUUUAGUUUUAAUGUGUUUCGCUCAAAGAAUCAAAUGUGAAAUUUCUACCAUAAACUUGCAUAAAGAUCACUUCUCCACAGUCAUAAUUGCAAAACUUAAAUCAAGAGGACUUUUAUUGGAUGUAAUGAGGCUUAGGGAUAGGGUUAUUGAAACGAAAGAAUAGGAAAACCCAAAUUCCAAGCUACAUUGCAAGCAAUUCUUUUCUUUAGAUUUAUAAGAAACUCAAGCUCUCCAACGAUUCUUCUAGCACCUCCAACCACACCCUUAAACUGAAACUUGAACAACUUUUUAUUUUCUUUGUGUACAAUCUUUCUUUUUUUUUUUUUUUUUUUUUUUCACAAAAAACUAAAUACAAACAUGAAAUACCCCCACACUUAUUCUUUUGCCAAACACCUUCAAAAUACUUCACAAAUGUUUCUUAUAAGACAAUCUCGCAUUGCUCACUAGCUUGCUUGGAAAGGGUAAGGAAAAAUGUUUCAGGCAUAAGGGUAGACAUAUCUGGUGAUGAGAAAUAAAAGGCUCAACAUACACGGCUCAAAUUGGCAAUCUAAUGAUAUCAUUUUUCUUUGGGAAACAUGGUUAUUUAGGCCAUAGUGGUAAACCUAAUGCCUUUAUCAUUUCCAAGUUCAUGCAAUCAAUGACAAACAUUUCGAAAGAUCGUUACGCAAGUUCUAGAGAUGUAUCUCACAUAAGUUCAUCACACAUGAAAGAAUAGGAGUGUAUGCAAAAAUGCACACACUUUCAAUAGGCUCAAAAACUCACAUAGGAUGUAUAUGGUCACUAAAUUCACAUAUGAAGCUUUAAGUCAUGUUUUAGUUUCACAUCAACAAGGCUAUGUGCAUUUGGUUUUUCAAAGAUGAUCAAACAUGUACAAAACUAACAAGAGAAUUAGGAAUUUCACAAAACACAUGUUAACUAAGUUCUUGAUGAUCAUGGUUCAAAUUUGAUCCAAUUAUAUCAUUGGGUCGGGAAACUAACAAAAAUCUAAUUCAUAACAAUAAGGGAAACAAGACAAUAUUUUUGGAUUUUUUAAAUUUUCCGAUUUUUUUAAAUUUUUUUUUUUUUUUUAAAGAAAACAAAACUAAUUAAGAAAACAAAAAGCAACAACACAGAAACAAAUGAAACCAAUUNAAUUCCCUGACACCCAAAAGGGUCUGCUUUCCAGUGUGAGAGGGUAAACUAAUUGUUCUCUAGUGCAAGAGGGUAAACCAAUUCCCUGACACCUAUAUGGGUAAGCUCUCCAGUGCGAGAGGGUAAACUAAUUGCUCUCCAGUGCGAUAGGGUAAACUAAUUCCCUGACACCCAUCUAGGUAAGCUCUUCAGUACGAGAACGCUACAUAACUCAAAAGAUCGAAUGCUUGAAGACCAACUAAGCAACAAAUGGUCAUUGGGCAGCAACUACUUUGCACCCAAUAGUUUUGCUCAUCCGACACUUCAUCUUCAGUAGCUCCGAUCUUGGCUGCUUUAUAUACGGCAGCUGAGAAAUCAAACUUAAGCAAUUUCCUCAUUUUUAGCAAGCAACCCAGAUAUGGAAGCCCAAAUACGACGCUUCUUCGGCCCAUACUGAGUCAGUCCUUGGCUUUAGUCAAGCCAAGCAGCACAAGAAAUGGCCCCUGCCACACCACCUCCUUGGCCCAUGCCAAGCCAACUCCUGGCCCUCGCCAAUCAACGUGCCGCACCACCCCAACGGCUGCCCCGUGGCAGCACCACCCAAGAAGAAGACAAGGAGAAUUAAGUUUUUCUUACAUCGGUACGGCGCAAAGAAGAUAAAGAAAUCAACGGAAGACGGUUCUUUGCACGGGCAAGCAAAGAAAAGUGCUAGGGGGAACAAAUAUCUUUUAGUUUUCUCUCUUUCUUGUAGGGAUAAAAAUAAUUGCCCUCCGAAGUUGAUUUAAUCCCCUACUUAAGGUAGGCUUAAAUAGGCUUUGGAGGUGAUUUAUUUCCCUUUCCUAGAAGAAUCUAAUUCCAAGUCCAAGUGAGAAUCUGCAUCAAAGCUGGAGAUCUCUACGCAUGUUGCCAUUUCCUAUGAGCAGCUCAGCAGGUGUGGGGAUUCGUGGAGCCAAAAAUAAUCAAGAAAAAUAUGGAGGCGACAUGUGAAUCUAGGGUGAAAAAGACAAAAUUACCCUCAAGGAAUACUGGAACUCCUACAAGCGAAUAGUGGACAAUCAUGACUCAAUCAAGGUCAAAAAUGCUCAAAAUAGGUAAUUAUUCAAAACCUAUUUCAUCCAUCCUCAUCAAAUCUUCUCCACAAGGCAACCUCAAAUCAUUCAUUUCAAAUUAUAUUAAUUAGCUAAUUAAUUGAUUUAUUAGCUAAUUGAUUGAAAUUAACACAAAAAAUACCACAUAUGUGAUGCGAGAAUUACUUAACACACAAAUUAAACCCUCUUUUUGACAAUUGUAGUAUAGAUGUAAGUAGGGUAUCGUUCUAGGCCGGGGAUUAGGAGGGAUUGCUAAUCUAUUCUAAAUUAAUUUAAAAAUAUUAAACAAGACUCAAGGACACAAAACUAGGCUAAAAACUCUAAUAACUCGAAACACACUUAGGAUGACUCAAAAUAAUGAAAACAAUCAAAUUAGACACUAGGAACUGCAAUGGACGGAAAUUGAAUUAAAAGACUAACAACAAUGAAAACUAACUAGAUAAUAUAAUUUAAUAAUGGGGGGUUUGGUUUUGACGAGAAGUAAAUUAAACUUAAAUAAAUUACAGAAUUGACAAAAACAUGAAAUUAAGGUGAAAUGAUAGGUGACGGACUAGCUAGAGGGUUCUUCUCCACACAUGACACAUAUGCAACCUAAAUUGAUUUUCAGUUGUUCUUUCAAUAAAUUGUAAAUCUCAAUACUUCAGAUUAACCGUGAACAACACUUUUUUAAUCUUCAAGUUUUCCUUAAGUUAUUGAAUUGGACGGAAAAACGCAUACAACAAUUCAAAACAUUCUUCAAAAGUCCCCUACGUGAAAAGCACAAUAGAGAUACAAUCAAAGAUCAUUAAACUUUG